AUUGAACGCUGGCGGCAUGCCUUACACAUGCAAGUCGAACGGCAGCACGGGAGCAAUCCUGGUGGCGAGUGGCGAACGGGUGAGUAAUAUAUCGGAACGUGCCCAGUCGUGGGGGAUAACGUAGCGAAAGCUACGCUAAUACCGCAUGCGAUCUAUGGAUGAAAGCGGGGGAUCGCAAGACCUCGCGCGAUUGGAGCGGCCGAUAUCAGAUUAGGUAGUUGGUGAGGUAAAGGCUCACCAAGCCGACGAUCUGUAGCUGGUCUGAGAGGACGACCAGCCACACUGGGACUGAGACACGGCCCAGACUCCUACGGGAGGCAGCAGUGGGGAAUUUUUGGACAAUGGGCGCAAGCCUGAUCCAGCAAUGCCGCGUGCAGGAUGAAGGCCUUCGGG
rnacentral:rRNA from 1 species